UAACACGUGGGCAACCUGCCCUGCAGAUCGGGAUANCUCCGGGAAACCGGUGCUAAUACCGAAUAGUUUGCGGCCUCUCCUGAGGCUGCACGGAAAGACGGUUUCGGCUGUCACUGCAGGAUGGGCCCGCGGCGCAUUAGCUAGUUGGUGGGGUAAUGGCCUACCAAGGCGACGAUGCGUAGCCGACCUGAGAGGGUGAUCGGCCACACUGGGACUGAGACACGGCCCAGACUCCUACGGGAGGCAGCAGUAGGGAAUCUUCCGCAAUGGACGAAAGUCUGACGGAGCAACGCCGCGUGAGUGACGAAGGUUUUCGGAUCGUAAAACUCUGUUGUGAGGGAAGAACAAGUACCAACUAACUACUGGUACCUUGACGGUACCUCACCAGAAAGCCACGGCUAACUACGUGCCAGCAGCCGCGGUAAUACGUAGGUGGCAAGCGUUGUCCGGAAUUAUUGGGCGUAAAGCGCGCGCAGGCGGUUCUUUAAGUCUGAUGUGAAAGCCCACGGCUCAACCGUGGAGGGUCAUUGGAAACUGGAGAACUUGAGUGCAGAAGAGGAAAGUGGAAUUCCAUGUGUAGCGGUGAAAUGCGUAGAGAUGUGGAGGAACACCAGUGGCGAAGGCGACUUUCUGGUCUGUAACUG
rnacentral:rRNA from 1 species